AAUGAGACAUUGGAAGUUGGACCUGGGAAUUUGAAGAUGUCCUUUUCAUCAACAUCUGGACAAUUGAAACAUAUGACGAAUUAUAGAACAGGGGUGAAAGAUUUGGAUGUGGAACUUGAAAGUACUAAGCAGAAAAGUAAAGAAAACCUGCAACAAGCCACCUUAAUUGAAAGGGAAAGAGUUACUCAAAUGCAGUGGGAUAUGGAAGAACUUCGUAGGAAGUAUUUGGAGAUGGAGUUGAAGCUCAAGUUCGAACAUGUUCCUUUUUAAUAAUUCUUAUGACUAUUUCAUUAUUUUGACAGGUUCCUUUUUACCUUCCAUUUCUUCAAGAAAUGAUGUAUUAAUUCCUUUCUAUUUGUUAUGAUCCCAUGAAUAUGAUGAUCUAUUUCAGCAUGAAAAGAUUCGUUUGGAGUUAGCAAAAGUGUCUGCCAUUCAGAGGAACCGUUGCUGUAGGAAUUGGAUGUUGCAAGAGAACAACUCAAAAACUUGCAGAAACAUCAAGAAGAGCUGGAAAUGAAAUUAAAAGCAAAUAUUAAAGUUCUUGUCAAAGAAGUUAAAUUUUUUAGGAAAACUUAAACAGAGAUGAAUCAGUUUCUAAACUUUAAAAUGAAUGAUUGUAUUUGAUUGAAUGAAUGAAUUAUUAUGCACAAGUUUAUAAAUUGAUUAAAACGAAUGAUUUAGCAUUGAUUGUUGAGA